rnacentral:rRNA from 1 species
GAUGAACGCUGGCGGCGUGCCUAACACAUGCAAGUCGAACGUGAAAGUUUAGUACAAAUACUUCGGUAGGCGUACUGGCUGGAAAGUGGCGAACGGGUGAGUAACACGUAGGUAACCUGCCUCGGAGUGGGGGAUAACCAGUGGAAACGCUGGCUAAUACCGCAUAUAUCCAUGGAUAACGGGAGUUGUCGUGGGUAAAGUUCAGGCGCUUCGAGAGGGGCCUGCGGCCGAUUAGUUAGUUGGUGGGGUAAAGGCUCACCAAGGCAGAGAUCGGUAGCUGGUCUGAGAGGACGAUCAGUCACACGGGAACUGAGACACGGUCCCGACUCCUACGGGAGGCUG